rnacentral:misc_RNA from 1 species
AAGUCGUAACAAGGUUUCCGUAGGUGAACCUGCGGAAGGAUCAUUAACACGUAUCCACGUAUCAACCCCAUGUGCUCUUUCGGUCUCGUACCCUGCCAGUGCAGAGAAAGUUGGACAGAAUUGGUCGAAUGGUGAGAGGGCAGAGAGUCAAAUCUCUGACCUCGUGGCUAGUUCUGUCUGUGUGCUUUCUCGCCUUUAUUGCUGGUCAGGCUUGUGUUCUUUUCACCAUUAGAAUCAAACCUUUUUUAACAUUUAAACCCCUAGUACCAUUUGUUACUGAAUCAAUGUUUGAAGAAACCUUCCCUCUCAGUCUUUCAUUAGGCUGUCUGGGUUGGUGGCUUUAAAUAACGAUACGAAACGCUUGACAACUCUUAGCAACGGAUAUCUUGGCUCUC